rnacentral:ribozyme from 1 species
GCUGAGGGGCGCUCCGGUGCCGGCUCGCUGCCAGCCUGGAGCGGUAAAGCGCGAGCGUAGUCCCAAGCCUAC